rnacentral:lncRNA from 1 species
AUAUAUAUAUAUAUAUAUAUAUAUAUAUAUAUAUAUAUAUAUAUAUAUAUAUAUAUAUAUAUAUACUUUUCCUUAAAAUAAAGAUUCUUCUAAUAAUACAAAAGGCUAAAACUUACACAAACAGAAUCUUCACUCUCAGCACAAAAGGGUCACACAGUUUAUGGGUGAAGCUUAUUUCAUUCUUCUAGUUUUUUUAUAAGUGUUUGAGUAAAUUGAUCAUAACAAGGUCUCUAAUGUAUAUUUUUCCUUGUUCCUGUUUAGUAUGAUUAAAAACUCUUGAUUAUUUUUUACUUUUGCAGAAAGAGACGGAUUAAUAGACCUAAGUCAUUAUUUGCUGAAGAUGUGAAUGCAAUCUUCAGACAAGCAAAAGAAGAACAAGAAAUCAUUCAUGUCUUCACCAAACAGCUCACACAUUUGUCUUGGUUUAAUUUACAGGUAUAUCUACAAUCCUCCCCAAUUCUACAAUUUAAUUUUCAUUUUAUUUUAUAUGAAGUACAAUUUAUUUUCAUUUAUGCUAAAGUCUUUAAGCUAUGCAUUUUGAUAUCAGAGUCACUUGAUAUACUGUCCAGGCUUGGCAUUCUAUUGCAUAUGAUUUCUUGUAUUGAUUUUCAAUGGAGUAUUUCAAACUUAAUGUUAAGCAAAAUUGAUGGAAUACUGCCUACGGGUCCAAUGGAGAAAUAAAGGAUGUUCGGAAGUAUUGGGCUUUAUUUUUUUUAAUCAUUUGUAAAUGAUUAGAUAUUUUGAUAUUAUAUUUUAAGUUUAUGAACUAUUUUAUACUUAACGAUGUUAAGUAACUAUGUUAUGUAAAUAUAUUUAAAAAUUUUGUUAGGUAAAUAUUAUAUUUUGAUGUGUUAAUAGAAACAAUAUUGAUUAUUUCGCUUAUUAUUGAUUAUUUAGACUAGAUUAUGGAAUUGAAUUUUAAGUAGGUCUGGAUAUAGAUAGUAGUACAAACAAAUCAAACAUUUAAAAAAAUGUCACUUUUUACACCAGUUCAAGUCAUAUUAAGUAUAAAAAGGUUUGUUUUUUCACACCGAUUAUAAUAGCAUCAGGUAUAAAAGCGAACUUCUUUUAUACUUGUUCUGAUUCCAGCAAGUAUAAAAGUGAAUUUUGUUUUUCAAGAAGAGACGACUUUUUUAUACCUGUUCCCAAAAUAUCAAGUGUAAAUAUCAAAAUUUUAUACUUGUUAUAGACAAAAUUGAUGUAAAAAGUUAAAUUUUUUAUGUCAGUUCUAGAAUCAGUGUAAAAAAUGAAAACUUUUUAUACCCUUUACUUCUAUAUCAACACAAAAAUCAGUAUAAAAAACUUUUUUUAACCGUUAUAAAAAACCUUUUUUGAGAUAGUGUUCCACGAACACCACUAUAGUGCUUUUUCUUCUUCGUCGUUGCAUUGCAUCUUGUCGCUGUCUUCUUCUCUCGCGCCUCUAUAUCAGAGCUCAUAAAAGCAAACUGUAUCAGAGCAAGUGAUUAAUGAUUUUAUCAAUAUAUCAGAGCAAAUAAAAGAGUAUAUCUCAGAAAACAUAUCAAAAUCAAGCAAUCAAGUAUCAAGCAAAUAAGUAAUCAAACUUUCUCCCCCUUUGUGCAUUAGCAAAAAAGGCAUGCUCUUUGAUAAUGAUGUGUUGAAAAACAAUUUUAUAGAGAUGCAUCAAUAUAAACAGAUUAAUCAAUUAAUAAUGCUCCUCCUGUCACAGAUAUUCACAUGAUAAAGAAAAUCUCCCCCUAAAGUGUAGACAUGUGAAAAAUCUAGAUUAUCAUGUAAUGCUCUCCGUAUCAUUAUGCAUGUUUUAAAUUCAAAACCUAGAUGCAUAAUGUAGUUGACACAAAUAUCUGAUCAUAUAAAAGCAUGUAUCAGAAUUGUAUCAGAACCAGAAUUGCAAACAAUUCAAUCAAACAUAGAUACAAUCAUCAACAAUCUCACAAUAUAAUCUCACAAAUAUAUUAAUCAAUUAAAGAUCAGAGAUAUAUUGAAAGCAAACAAUAAGAUAUAGAAUCAGUAAACCAAAAUAACCAAAUUCAAGCAAAUGGAAUUCUUAACCCUGUUAAACCAAUAGUCGAUUAUUCCUCAUUUGCAAUCAAUUUUGCAUUGCUUCCCAUGAGUAGUAUCUCCAGUAGUAAGUCCAGAGACAAUGUCUCCUGCAAAACCUUUCAAGAUCUUUUGAAGAUCAAGAAAUUUAGAAUCACAGUAAUGCAAGAAAUUAUGCAGUUAAGAAGUGAGUAUGCAAAAGAAUUAAUGUAACAGUAAACAUGUGCAUAAUCAACUUCAACAAUGACAUAGUCAACUUUAGAUCAUUUUAUACUACUAUCAUUUAGAAUUCCCAAUUCAUUUCGAAUAGUAAAAAAUCUUUCCCUGUUCAAUGGUUUUGUAAAAAUAUCAGCCCAU